rnacentral:lncRNA from 1 species
UUCUUAAGCAAUGGCUCCAUUAGUUACUUUCUGAUUUUUACCAAUUUAUUUUUUGUAUCAAUGAUUAAUGUAAUAUUCUUGCUGAUGUAGUAUAUCUCACCUUUUUAAUAAUCAUUUCAAUUUAAGAAGACCAAAAUCCAAAUCAUGAUCAGCAAGAAAGUUGUGAGUAGUCCUCCACCCCGACUCCCUUCAGGUGCUAGUGAAGGUUACCC